CAGGUAAUUGACCUCAUUCAUUGUCCAGAUAAAUGCUUCGUGUUACCUUGACAGGUAAUUUCGGUUGUUUAAGGAGACGGCAGGCAAAGGUGAAGGAUACUUUGGCUGUAAUGUGCAUUCACGUCGAGGGCAGGUGUUAAACUACCGUAUUUUAUGUAUUCUCGGUAAUUUGUGAGAUAUAAAUUGUACUUUAAUUUAUUUGUGAAGGUCUGAUUGUUAUUGUAGAUGAAGGUUUUAUAAAAAACGAUCGUGCCUUCAUGUGCCAAUUCUUAGCUGUUCUUUAGAUUAUCUUGUAUUUGCGUAUGAGUAAUUUCUUGAAUUUUGAUUUUUUUAAUUAAGUACCUAUUUUGAAUUUUUAUGUAGAUUGAAAAUGGUAAAAGUUUGUGCAAUGCGUGAAGACGAAUGAAUUAAAUGAAUGUAAGAUAUA